UUUUUAGGCGGCUCGAACGGGAGGGCUCACGCCCUGCCGGUUUCCGCAAGGAUGUCCCGGUACGCCAACCUGUUCGAGCUGCCGCCCCC
rnacentral:antisense_RNA from 3 species